UGCCUGCCUGGCUGCACCAUGGACUCCAGGCUCCUCCACUGCAUGAUGCUUUGUCUCCUGGGAGCAGGCCCUGUGGAGGCAGGAGUCACUCAAACUCCAAGACACCUGAUCAAAACAAAAGGACAGAAAGUGACACUGAGAUGUUCCCCUAUUUCUGGGCAUGAGAGUGUGUCUUGGUACCAACAGAUCCUGGGCCAGGGCCCCCAGUUCCUCUUUGAAUAUUACAGAGAAGAAGAGAGAGCAAAGGGAAACUUCCCCAGUCGGUUCUCAGCUCACCAGUUCCGUAACUACAGCUCUGAGAUGAAUGUGAGCUCCUUGGCGCUGGAGGACUCAGCCCUGUAUCUCUGUGCUAGCAGCUUGGCACAGCCCUGCAGAGUCACUGACGUUCUGUGCGCAAACCUCUGUGCCCCAGCAAGGAAACACCUCAGACCUGACAUGCUGGGAGAACUUGGGGGCUGCAGGAGCACUUGA